rnacentral:rRNA from 1 species
CAGUCGCCGCGGUAAUACAGAGGGUGCGAGCGUUAAUCGGAUUUACUGGGCGUAAAGCGUGCGUAGGCGGCUUCUUAAGUCGGAUGUGAAAUCCCUGAGCUUAACUUAGGAAUUGCAUUCGAUACUGGGAAGCUAGAGUAUGGGAGAGGAUGGUAGAAUUCCAGGUGUAGCGGUGAAAUGCGUAGAGAUCUGGAGGAAUACCGAUGGCGAAGGCAGCCAUCUGGCCUAAUACUGACGCUGAGGUACGAAAGCAUGGGGAGCAAACAGGAUUAGAGACCCCUGUAGUCCCUGUCUCUUAUAA